CUGGGACUUCAGGCCAUUUACGGGGGCAGCCGAGUCCUGGCAGGAGAAACACCUGAGCGCCCCGUGCCCCUCCCAGACUGGUCAGUAAGGAGGUUGGCUCACAGUCUCUAUCACGCGAUCUCCAGUGCUCGUGGACUCCUGGACCUUCCACAGUCAGAGUCAUAACGCUUCAGCGCGCUGUGCUCCAGAGGCCCUGCGGCGGGAUGUGGAGCUGCCGACUGGCUCUGGCCCAAAACUGUGCGCUGGAGGGACUGCCUGAAGCCAAAACGGGGCAGGGCACCGCGCAUGCCCGGCGCAAAACUGCUGUACUCUACGGCCUUCCGGGAGCCCUCAGGCGGUCCAAACUGACCUGUUUGUCCGUGUCUCUGGCGAAGUGGAUUUCAUCCCCCUCACAGACUGACUCCGUUAUGGCUAUGGGAAUCGGUGUUGGGAGAACAGCUGGAGGCGUUGACAUAUGUUUUGUGUGAUACAAUAUGUACUUCAACUUUUUUCUUAACUUCAGUAUUUGAAAAAGAAAAGAAAAAAGAUCAUCACAAGGUUGAUGAGAAAUGAUGAUUCCAAGCUUCAUUGUUGAGGAGACAAAAGGGAAUAUUGGAGACUGUGGUAAACAUCAGAAUGAAUGCUUUAUAUAAGAGAUACGUGUGCUGCUGGAAUCUAAACAGUUUUUGUUAUGAGAUAAUGUAGAUCUGGUGUUAUAGCAUCUUCCAAACUUUAGGAAUAUAUGGGGAUUUAACUGGGGGUGGGAAUGGUGGUCAUAUUGUCUUCAGCACUUAAAGUAGUAAAACAAAAAAGCAUGCCCUCACCGAGUUCACAGUCUACUGGGGAAAGUGCCAGCAAUAUACAUACUAAAUGAGUGAAUUAUAUAAUAUUUUUAAAUAUGAUGACUGCUAUGGAGAAAGAAUAAGGCAUAGUAAAGGAGAUAGGGAAUAAUGGGUGAGAUUGCAAUUUUAAAUAGAGUAGUCAGUAUGUUACGAUUUGAAGGAGAUGAAGGAACAAGUCAUGCUGGUAUCGGAGGACAAGAACUGCAGGCAGAAGAAGCUAUUAGUGUAAAAGAUGGCGUGUUGAAGGAAGGGCAAGAAAGCCAAAGUGGCUACAGCAAAGUGAGAGAGGUAGGCAAUGAGGUCAGAGAGGUAAGGCUAUGGUGUGGGCAGUUCUUGAAGGUUCCUAUACAGAAUUGUAAGGAAUUUGAUUUGUUUCUGAAUGAAAUAGGGAACUGUUGAAGAGUGUAAUUUUUUUUUUCCAUGUGGAAUCUCAAGCUUUUAAAGACUGGGGACUAUUUACUUUUUUUCUUCAAUCUGAACAUGUCAAUCUGUGGCUAUGUGCAGCCAGACUCAUGUGGCAGGCAGCCAGUUUGCGAGUUCUGCUACUGAAAUGUUUUUUGUUGUCUCAUCCUUUCAUGAUCACGUCUUGCAUUUGAAAUAUUCUUUGUCUUGCAUUUAAAAUAUUUCCCCUCAAUAUCUUAAACUGAAUUGUUCCAUAACCUAUUUCUAUUUCUCAGUUAACUUAGAGGAUUCCCCAGUCCUACUUACUGUUCCCUGUCUCAUUUUUGCUUCCUGCCAUUUCAUGCAUCCUGGGCUCAGCUUUGCUCUUCUGUGUGAUUUGGCUCCUAAUUAGACUGCUAGCACUGUCCUUUACCCUGCUUCUUACAGUUAAUGUUGAGUGGAACAUGCUCGUUGAUAUGUAACAAAUCUGUACCACUGUCAGAAUGAGCAUCUUCUCCUGACACUUCUCGGCCUUCUGAUUCCUCCCGUUAUGAAUGUUGACUCUUCAAUCAACUUCUUACAGGUUUGGCGCUGUUAUGAGAAGGGAAGCAAAUUAAUCCACCCUGUUCCAUUAAAAACCUCCACUGACCAAAAGAGAACUUGUUGAAAUACUUUUAAAGAGAGGGCAGUAAAGGUAGCUUUGGAAUAGUUCAUUGUUAUCAGCAAUGUUAUAUUCUUUUUCAGUUUACAGAACUUUGCCUGUAAAAAAUGGAACAGCUACACAUUUGGAUGGGACACCUUUAUAAGUAAUGAGAUCUUAGAAUUUAAAUGAGAGAGACAUUUAAGCACUCCUCCUUCUAAAUUUUCAAGUUAAAUGGUCAAGAGUCAUCACAUAUAUAGCUCUACUUAAGGCAAUCGACUUGCCCCAGGCCAUCAGAACCAGCGCUAGAGUCUUUGAAUUUUGCUAAUAAUUCAUUUUGCUGCUGCUAAGACAAUACCUCAUUCUCAACUAAUGUGAAUAAAUUACUACUUUCCAACUUCAUUUGAAAAGGAAUUAGAUUAAGUGAAACAGUUUAUAUUGAGUGUUUGCUAAAUAAGACAUUUUGAAAUAGAUGGUAUUUCGAAGAUAAAACAACAAUGGAUUUCACCUUUGUGGAAAUGAGAUCCUAACCAUUUUGAUAAGAACUAUAGUCUAAAGGAAAUCCUGAGUCAACAUAAAGCAGUAGGGUUUUUUUUCCCUAUAGAGGUGAAACCACAUAGCAGAUGAAUGGCAUAUUGUGUAAAGUACGAAUUAAAGAAAGAAUAUAAUGGAGAACUUUUAGUAAAGUUUCAAUUUUAGUAAAAUAGAAAAUUUUUUGCAGGAUCUUUAAAUUAAUUCCUUGGAGGAUUAUUUCUUUCUGAACAUGUCUUUCUGAACAUUAUUCUCUAUGAUAUAAGAACAGUAGAUGUUCUGGAUCAUUCACUUUGGAAUCAAGAAAGAUUUUAUGGAAAUCCAGAAAUUAUUUUGUUAAAAAAUAACAGCAAGGUAUCAUAAUAAAAUGCAUUCAGCAGAUUAAAUAUGAGGAAACAGAAAUUUUUAAAAAUAUACAAAUAUUCUGAAAUGCUUUCAACAUUAGUUUUGGGUGAUUUCUUUUGUGAUUAUUCAAAUUGUUAGCAGUUACUCUGUUUUAUUAUUGCUGUUUGUUUUCAUACACAUAGACUAAAAGGUUUACACUUAAACGAGAAGAUGCCUACUUCAAUCACUUAUGUCACACUAAGCAAAACCACAAAAUUUGAGUUUAUGCUAACGUGGAGAAUUUAAUGAAUGCAAAAACUAACCCCAGUAACAAGAAAUCAGAUUAUUACUCUCAAGAAAUAAUGCUAGGUGAAUUUUCAGCAUGAGAAGUUAUUUUUCAGGAAAAAGCAAUCUGAUUGAAUUCGUAUAGCUGUUCAGAUCACAAGGACUGCUUUUACUGCUAUUACUGUUUGGUCCUCAUCUUGGAGUGACAUUGUCCCCUUCUCUAGCUUUGAUCUUAACAAAGAGAAAAAAGAUAUUUUGGUGAAAAUGUUUGGAAACUUGUUGACACUUCUUAUGGGUAUCUUUCCUGUUUUGUUUUUUGUUUUCCUAACCAUGUCCUUAUUUGUCAUUCAUUUAUAUAUGAUAACAUUGAUUCGUUAACUUAUUCAUUCCACAGAUUCCACAUAUAUCUCAUUUGUGAAGUGGGAACUUAAUGUACCUGGAUCAAGACUUUAAGAACAUUUCAAGCACAAGAUAGUGCAAACUCAUGAUUUAUUCUUGUCUUUAAAAGUACACACACUUUUAUGAUUAAUUUUGGCAGCCUUAACUGUUCUUGUUAAAGACUUUCUAAAUUCACCCAAAUAUCUGGAGUUAUACUAUCCAGUGAUCAAGCACUUUCAUGUGUUGAAGCUCCAGCUUUCUUAGAAUACCUUGAUAAACAUGAAGUAAUUUAUGAAAUACUUACUAAUUGCAAAGCACUGUGUUAGAUACGGAGAAAUGCAUUCCCUGCCUAUGGUAUUCAAUUGCUUUAAAUAUAUAAAUUCAUCUAAUCGCCACAGCGAUCUUAUUAAUUUGUAAUUGUAUUAAAGCCUUUCAGAUGAGGAGAUUUCAGUAUGGGGUUGUUAAAUGAUUUGAUCAAGGACACAAUGCUACUAAGGACAAGAGUCUGGCCAUUUCCAUCAUCCUACUCAAUCCUCAAGCAGAGUACUCAAUUUGAUUUUUUUCUUUAAUGAAUAAAUGCCAUAUCUUAUUGUGAAGACAAAAUUCUUAGUUUGAUAUUAAAAUUGUAUUAAUUACAAAUCAGUAAUUUCAUGUCAAUUUAAAACUAGCAAAUGCAGGUACUCUAUUUGAAAUUUAAAAAAAAUACAAGAUAUUAUUUUCUUUUGCAAGGUAUGAAAGACUAAUAGUUUCUGUGAAAUUAUCGUUCUUUUUAAUAUAUGGUAUACUUUUGCUAUAAAAAUACAUUUCAUCUAAGCCUGGCAUGAGGCUGUUUAGAAAAUAUGUUUAUGUUUAUGCACAGGACUUUUUGAGCAAAACUUGCUGAAAUUUCAGACCUAGGCUAAAAGACAAGCCUAAGAAGUUAAUUUAUAACUCAUUAGCUAGUAAAAAAGAUAGAGAGAUUUACUUCUUCAGAAAUAUGUGUUUGUAUUUCAAAGGGGCAUGUGACGUGGGAAAGGGAGACAUUCCCUGGCUUGUAAAGUUGGAGACUGGUCUUCUAUCUCUCCUAAAGAGAUUCAUUUGUAUUCCAAAGAGUGAGGACCCAGCAUCCUUCCCCUUACGUUUCCACAAAGACUCUCUCUGAAGGGAAUGGGGGACUUUCCUAUAUAAAUUUCUAGAUUUAUCUUUUUGUGGUCUCUUUCCUAUAUAAAGUCUAGAUUUUUUUUCCUUGGUCCUUCACCUACAAUACAGACCCUGUGAUAUCUGGUUUUCAUUUGCCAUUCCAGUGGUAAAAAUCGGGGCACAGAGGAAUCACGCUUAUUAUUUUCUCUAAGUAAAUGAUGAUAAUCUGCUCUGCCCGGAAACUUUUGUGCAUAUAUUGAAGAUGAUAAUAAUAAAUAUAGAUAUUAAAAAUCUAACACCUAGUGUGAAAACUAUUCUGUACAUUAAAAUUAGAAGUCACAGUGUUGAAACACAACGUUAUUGCUUAGUAGUUCAUUUAUUUUGCACAGUUUUGUUUUUAAACUUCCUUGAACUUUAGUUGCUGUGUAAGAUGGUCAUUUUUACAGUGCCAUUGCAAGGUUAAAUGAAAGGACAUUUGUUAAAAAUUGUGAUUUCUCAAGAACUAUAUAGAGAAAAGGAAAGAUGAUGAUGAUGAUGAUGGUGAUGAUGACAUGAUAUUGAUACCAAUGAUGAUAGAUAAUGAUAUUGAUGAUGAUAGAUAGUAAUUUGAAAUUAUUUGGUAAAAUAUCUCCAAAGGUCUUAGGGUCAAAUAAAAUAUUUGAUAUUGGCUCUCUUUUUCCUCUUAUCCUUCUUGCAAAAUCCAAGUUAUUGAAGUUAGAUUAGUGCACAUGCAAAACUGCUAAAUUAUUGCUGAGCAAAAGGCCUGGACAUGGUAAGCAAUCUAGAAAUGGUUUAGUAUGUUGUCUAUCAUGAUGUGAUGAAUAUAUAAGACAGGAAGAAAAAGAAUCAUAACUGUUUGCAGAUGAUAUUUGAAGAUAAGGUAGGUGAGCAGAGAGUCAUGAGAAGUCAGUCCCAGGUGCCUGGUACUUGAGAAAAGCCUCAUUUGGGGAGUAUGGAGCAGAUUGCUACAAUUCCAGUCACUUCUAAAGGAACUUUGUUAGAAAUAUUUGGUUUGGCAUAUUGAUGGUUUCAAUAGUGAGUAUAUUUUAUGAUGACUAAUAAACAUAAGCAAAUGAAUUUAAUUGCAACUGAGAAGAUGUAUAAAUAUAGAAUGUGUGUGAAGAAGUAAAACAAUAACCCUAAUAAUUUGAGAGGAGAAUAAAAUUGCCUCCAUCUUGUAGGCAUUUCAUAGACAGAUGCGUUUAUUUUUCUUUUGCUGUGUUUUGUAUUUUGCUUGAUUUAUAUUAUUUCUCCAUUUUACUUUCAUUGUAAUUCUCAUGUCUAAGGGAGGAUAGUACCCCAGGAAGCAAUUCGUGCAAAAUGAAAGAGAAUUCAGGUUAUUUAAUCUGAAAUACAAAUGGUAAAUUUCAAGAGUGGAAGAAAAAGUUACACUAAUAUCUUUAAACAUAUCCACCUCCCUAUGCACACAGACUGACAAUCAGAAACACACAGGACUAAUGCUUUAAAAAUUCACUGUGAGACCCUUUUUUGUUUAUCUGUUGAAAAGCAAAGAAAAUGUCUAUGAGGGCUUUUUCGAUUUAUGUCAUAGGAUGAAUAAAUUAUAUCAUAGGAUCUGCAAAUAAGAGAAAGGAGAGACCACGAAGGCACUGGGUAUGUCAAGAAAGUCCAUCUGGGAAUGCUGGGAAGAGAAUGGGAAAUGUGAGGAUUGAAGCUCAAGUCCGCUUACAUUUCAUAUAUAUCUAGGUACUGCCUAAUAUUUUCUGCAGUUCAUAAAGCUACAAAUUGGAUUAUACCUAUUAGGCAUAGAAUAAAAUCCUAAGAUUAUGUGCUUUGGUUUUCUCUUUUUAAGAAAAUAUUCCAGGGGCCAGCCUGGUUGCAUAGUGGUGAAGUUCUCACAUUCUGCUUCAGUGGCCGAGGCUUCGCUGGUUCGGUUGCAGACAUAUGUACUGCUUGUCAAGCCAUGCUGUGGCAGACGUCCCACAUAUAAAGUAGAGGAAGAUGGGCACAGAUGUUAGCUCAGGGCCCGUCCUCCUCAGCAAAAAGAGGAGGGGUAGUGGCAGUUGUUACCUCAGGGUCCAUCUUCCUCAAAAAAAGAAAAAAGAAAACAUUCCAGAGAAAUGUAUGUUAACUUUUGGUCUACUGAAAUGGAAUACUUGUCCACAAAAACAUUCCAUAAUAAUUUCCCUUGAAACUGAGAUACUUCACAUUGAUUGCCAACUUCACUCAUGCUGAAAUCAGCCAAAAGACCUCCUAAAUCACCAACAGAUGUUUGCAUACUAAAAGCCAGUGGAAAACUUUAUUUCUUUCCUUUUCCUUCCUUUAUUUGGCUGAAAUUUCCACAUCCUAAAGUAUCCCAAUAUCCGGGGCAUGUAGGCUGGAAAGCCACAGAGUUUUCUCAUCCCUGCAUUUUUACUUAUUUCAAGUGCGUAAUAGGAUAGCAUCAUCAAGGUCUAAUUGUCCUCUGGAUGUGGUCUAAAGAGACUCACAUAGAUCCCAAAGGCACAGCACUUUUACUUUAGGUGCAGAAAGUAGCUUAUAUUAAUUGCUAUAGAUUUAAUCAGUGUUCAGAAUUGUGUUCUGAAAAUUUUAAGAAACAGUGGUAUCACGAAUUAUGUUAGGUACAGGCAAGUGUUUUACACGAACAAGCUUGGAUCACUUGUAGCUCCCUAGACCAAAAAAUAAUGUAAUCAUAAACCUGUUUGUCCAGUGACUCCUACUGCUGGCAAUCCUGAAUUAGAUGUGGCAUAGGUAAACCAACAAAGUCUAUCAGCUCAGAGAAAUCGUGCCAGUACAUAGAAUGUUCAUCUACUCAAAGCGGUGACACAUUUGGGACAAAGUCCUCACAACCUAAACUUGCAGUCCUGACUAUACCAUUAAGAUUCUCAGUCUUGUUUGCCAGAUGCUUAGGUACUUUUUAUCAGUGUGUAGCUUCUCUUGAUUCUUACACUGUGUGUUACAUGGUGCUUUAGCGAUUUCAGUAUCUUAUUCCAAAAAGCUGAUUUCAAAAUAUUCUGAGAGCUAUUUCAUGAUAUCAUGGUAUAUAUCAUGAUAUAUGAUUAAGAACAAUUGAGCAACGUAUGCUUGAGUGCAAUUAUGCUUAUAUAGUAAUCAUAAUAAGUGGGGAACCAUAUAUGGAAUGAGUGCUAUCUGUCAUACAAUGGAUAUAUUAUUGUCUUAGUCUGUUCUGGCUGCUAUUAACAAACUAUCAUAGACAAGGUUGCUUCUAAUUAAUAAAAAUUGCCUUGAACAAUAGCUUCUGGCUUUAGUUAAGAUGGCUGACUAAUCUCCUUAUCAAAUGGUUAUUUACCCACACCCUCAUUUUUCAUCUUUUAUUGUAUGAAUAGGCUGAGAAUUUUCCAAAUCUUUAAUUUCUGCUUUUUCUUGAUUAACAAUUCCAUCUUUAAGUCAUUUUUCUCCUCACAUUUUACUGUAAGCAGUCAGGAGGAAGCAGGCUGUUCCUUCAACACUUUGCUUAGAAAUUCCUUAGCUAAAUAUCCAAUUUCAUUGCUCGCAAGUUCCACCUUCCACAAAACACUGGAACAUGACAAUUCAUCCAAAUUCUUUGUCACUUUAUAACAAGGAUGACCUUUCUUCCGUUGUCCAAUAACGUGUUCCUCAUUUUCACCUGAGACCUCAUCAAAAUGGCCUUUACCGUCUAUGUUCCUACCAACAUUAUGUUCAGGAUGACUUAGUUAUUCUCUAAGAAGACUGAAGCUUUCUCUAUGGCUCUCCUGUUUAAGAGCUUUCACCAGAAUUACUCUGAAGGGUCCAUUAAUGGUAGUGUAGGCUUUUUCUAGGUGCACCUCCAAACUCUUCUGGCCUCUACCCAUUACCCAGUUCUGAGGCUACUUCUGCAUUUUUAAGUAUUUGUUAGAGUAGCACCCCACUUCUGGUAUCAACUUCUGUCUUAGUCUAUUUGGGAAGUUAUAACAAACUACCAUAGACUGGGUGACUUAUAAACAACAAAAUUUUAUUUUUCACAGAUCCAGAGGCUAGGAAAUUCAAGGCACUGGCAUGUUCAUGUUUGGUGAAAGUCCGCUUCCUGGUUCUUCACAUGGUGGAAGAGAUAAAGGAGCUCUCUGGAGCCUCUAUUAUAAGGGCCCUAAUCUCAUUGGUGAGGACUCUGGCCCUUGUUACUCAAUCACCUCCCAAAGGCUCCACCUCCAAAUAAUAUCACGUCAGGGAAGGUUUCAACUAGAAAUUUUGAGGGGACACAAACAUUCAGUCUAUAGCAAUUACCAUUAUCAUCCAAAACUUUUUAAAUAUAUGUGUUCUUAUAAUUUAGAGUUAAGGAAACUGAGCUGUUCAGGGACUCACCUAGAACCAUAUGGUUAGUAAAUGAUAGAGAUAAAAUUUUAACUCAGGGAUGUCUAGCUACAAGACUAUAAUAUUUUCCUAACACUGUGCUGCUUUCUCAUACUCUCAACCAGGGCACAAAUGGAUGGUGAUUUUUCAAAUUUUCCCUUCCUACAAUUAACAAACUGUAGCACAACAGCUCUCCGAAAAAUAACCUAAUAACCUAUGCAUUGCUUAUAAAAGCCCUACACAAGCAAAUUGCAUGAUAGAAUUCUAAAACCAGAGCUGAAAUCCUUUAUUUUCCUGGAUAAACUGAAAUGAAGGCAAUUGCUCUGCACUGUGAUAAAUGGAAACCAUUUUUGACAUACCAAAUUGUUUGUCUUGCUAUUUGGAAGUGAAUCCCUUAUUUUCAAAGAAAUAUUAACUUAUUUCAUAAAAUAAUCUUUUAUUAAUAAAAGAUAUAUCUCAGAAUGGAAAGAUAAUUGCAUAAUAUUUUGUAUUUAAGCAUUUUGUGCUGUAGGAAAUGUGCCAUUUAUUCUGUUUAGUAUGCAUAAGAACUGCCAGGGAGUAGCUUUGUCAGGCCCAUCAAAAUAUACAAGAAAAUAUCCUAAAAAAGUGAUACUCUCACUUGGAGAAGGGCUUCCAAACCUGGGAGACUCAGGAGUCUUUCAGAUUUCAAAGGAAAAGCAUCAUGUUGACAGGGGUGUGUGUCCUGGCUCCUUCUCCUUGCAGCAGCAUUUAUCUAAAGGAUUUAAGAUCUAGGACUACAGUCUUGUAGCCCGGUUACGAUCAUUCCUCCAGGGUAGCAGCAGCAUGUCUGCUUAUGUUCCACUGCUCCCAGUGGGAUCUUUCCAUAACAGGAAACCCCUGCCAGAUGCUGAUUAUUCGCAAUACCUUGCUCUGGCUGCAUGCUAUCACCUCUGAGACAUGGAGAAACUCUUUUUUACUGAGAGGUAAGGGAAAGAGAAAAAAUCAACAGAAAGAAGAGUGAAGACGAUGGCGGUAAAGAAGCAAAGAAGAGAAAAAUGUCUUUGGUUUCACAGCUGUGCUGCCAGAAGUUUUUUACCUCAAACGCUCGGCAGCCCCUCAGGGUUGGUCAGUACUUUUGGUGGAAAGUAUAAAGGGAGCUAUUGAUUUAAUUAAGAAGAGUUGAGAUAAAGGUUGGUUAUGUAGAGGAAAAGAAAAUUCACAGGAGAGAUUCAGCUAAAGUGGAACUGUGUCUCAGAGACCACAGAAGAGAUCUGCAAAGGGAGUACAUGGAAGACUGUUUAAAAUGGGAGGCUGAGGUGGCCUGGUGGCACAGUGGUUGAGUUUGCAUGCUGUGCUUUGGUGGCCCUGGGGUCUCGGGUUCAGAUCCCCAGCGCAGACCUGCACACUGUUCGUCAAGCCAUGCCGUGGUGGCAUCCCACAUACAAAAACAUAGAGGAAGAUUGGCACAGAUGUUAGCUCAGGAACAGUCUUCCUCACCAAAAUAAGAAUAAU
ensembl:lncRNA